rnacentral:rRNA from 1 species
UACAGAGGGGGCAAGCGUUGUUCGGAAUUACUGGGCGUCAAGGGCGCGUAGGCGGCCUUCUACGUCGAACGUGAAAUCCCCGGGCUCAACCCGGGAACUGCGUCCGAUACUGGAAGGCUUGAAUCCGGGAGAGGGAUGCGGAAUUCCAGGUGUAGCGGUGAAAUGCGUAGAUAUCUGGAGGAACACCGGUGGCGAAGGCGGGAUCCUGGACCGGUAUUGACGCUGAGGCGCGAAAGCCAGGGGAGCAAACGGG